UGAACGCUAGCGACAGGCUUAACACAUGCAAGUCGAGGGGCAGCGCAGGGUAGCAAUACCCGCCGGCGACCGGCGCACGGGUGAGUAACGCGUAUGCAACUUGCCUAUCAGAGGGGGAUAACCCGGCGAAAGUCGGACUAAUACCGCAUGAAGCAGGGGUCCCGCAUGGGAAUAUUUGCUAAAGAUUCAUCGCUGAUAGAUAGGCAUGCGUUCCAUUAGGCAGUUGGCGGGGUAACGGCCCACCAAACCGACGAUGGAUAGGGGUUCUGAGAGGAAGGUCCCCCACAUUGGUACUGAGACACGGACCAAACUUCCUACGGGAGGCAGCAGUGAGGAAUAUUGGUCAAUGGGCGAAAGGCUGAACCAGCCAAGUCGCGUGAGGGAUGAAGGUUCUAUGGAUCGUAAACCUCUUUUAUAAGGGAAUAAAGUGCGGGACGUGUCCCAUUUUGUAUGUACCUUAUGAAUAAGGAUCGGCUAACUCCGUGCCAGCAGCCGCGGUAAUACGGAGGAUCCGAGCGUUAUCCGGAUUUAUUGGGUUUAAAGGGUGCGUAGGCGGCCUUUUAAGUCAGCGGUGAAAGUCUGUGGCUCAACCAUAGAAUUGCCGUUGAAACUGGGGGGCUUGAGUAUGUUUGAGGCAGGCGGAAUGCGUGGUGUAGCGGUGAAAUGCAUAGAUAUCACGCAGAACCCCGAUUGCGAAGGCAGCCUGCCAAGCCAUGACUGACGCUGAUGCACGAAAGCGUGGGGAUCAAACAGGAUUAGAUACCCUGGUAGUCCACGCAGUAAACGAUGAUCACUAGCUGUUUGCGAUACACUGUAAGCGGCACAGCGAAAGCGUUAAGUGAUCCACCUGGGGAGUACGCCGGCAACGGUGAAACUCAAAGGAAUUGACGGGGGCCCGCACAAGCGGAGGAACAUGUGGUUUAAUUCGAUGAUACGCGAGGAACCUUACCCGGGUUUGAACGCAUUCGGACCGAGGUGGAAACACCUUUUCUAGCAAUAGCCGUUUGCGAAGUGCUGCAUGGUUGUCGUCAGCUCGUGCCGUGAGGUGUCGGCUUAAGUGCCAUAACGAGCGCAACCCUUGCCACUAGUUACUAACAGGUAAAGCUGAAGACUCUGGUGGGACUGCCACCGUAACCUGCCAAGAAAGGCGGGGAUGACGUCAAAUCAGCCCGGCCCUUACAUCCGGGGCGACACACGUGUUACAAUGGCGUGGACAAAGGGAAGCCACCUGGCGACAGGGAGCGAAUCCCCAAACCACGUCUCAGUUCGGAUCGGAGUCUGCAACCCGACUCCGUGAAGCUGGAUUCGCUAGUAAUCGCGCAUCAGCCAUGGCGCGGUGAAUACGUUCCCG
rnacentral:rRNA from 1 species